UCAAUCUUGGGUUCCUCCGUAGCAGGGGCAGCGGGCUCUUCAGGCUUGGAUUCCUCCUCCUUGGCUGGAGCCGAUUCCUCCUCUUUGGCCGGAGGCGUAGGUGGAGACGGAGGAGGUGGAGGAGGAGCAAACUCGUUGUUCGCAAGGGCAGCUUGCACGAGCUGCUUGAAAUCGUCGAGGGCCUUCUUCUCGGGGUCGACGGGGUCAGGAACGGCGGUGCUCUCCUCCUUCAAGGAGACAGACGGUGCCUCAGUGGUCUCAGCCGGCGCCGCCCCC
rnacentral:lncRNA from 1 species